rnacentral:rRNA from 1 species
ACGAACGCUGGCGGCACGCUUAACACAUGCAAGUCGAACGAGAGAAGAGAAGCUUGCUUUUCUGAUCUAGUGGCGGACGGGUGAGUAACACGUGAGCAAUCUGCCUUUCAGAGGGGGAUACCGAUUGGAAACGAUCGUUAAUACCGCAUAACAUAAUUGAACCGCAUGAUUUGAUUAUCAAAGAUUUAUCGCUGAAAGAUGAGCUCGCGUCUGAUUAGCUAGUUGGUAAGGUAACGGCUUACCAAGGCGACGAUCAGUAGCCGGACUGAGAGGUUGAUCGGCCACAUUGGGACUGAGACACGGCCCAGACUCCUACGGGAGGCAGCAGUGGGGAAUAUUGCACAAUGGAGGAAACUCUGAUGCAGCGAUGCCGCGUGAGGGAAGAAGGUUUUAGGAUUGUAAACCUCUGUCUUCAGGGACGAAAAAAGACGGUACCUGAGGAGGAAGCUCCGGCUAACUACGUGCCAGCAGCCGCGGUAAUACGUAGGGAGCGAGCGUUGUCCGGAAUUACUGGGUGUAAAGGGAGCGUAGGCGGGAUCGCAAGUCAGAUGUGAAAACUAUGGGCUUAACCCAUAAACUGCAUUUGAAACUGUGGUUCUUGAGUGAAGUAGAGGUAAGCGGAAUUCCUAGUGUAGCGGUGAAAUGCGUAGAUAUUAGGAGGAACAUCAGUGGCGAAGGCGGCUUACUGGGCUUUAACUGACGCUGAGGCUCGAAAGCGUGGGGAGCAAACAGGAUUAGAUACCCUGGUAGUCCACGCCGUAAACGAUGGUGACUAGGUGUGGGGGGACUGACCCCUUCCGUGCCGCAGCAAACGCAAUAAGUAAUCCACCUGGGGAGUACGACCGCAAGGUUGAAACUCAAAGGAAUUGACGGGGGCCCGCACAAGCAGUGGAGUAUGUGGAUUAAUUCGAAGCAACGCGAAGAACCUUACCAGGUCUUGACAUCGUAUGCAUAGCUCAGAGAUGAGUGAAAUCUCUUCGGAGACAUAUAGACAGGUGGUGCAUGGUUGUCGUCAGCUCGUGUCGUGAGAUGUUGGGUUAAGUCCCGCAACGAGCGCAACCCUUACUGUUAGUUGCUACGCAAGAGCACUCUAGCAGGACUGCCGUUGACAAAACGGAGGAAGGUGGGGAUGACGUCAAAUCAUCAUGCCCCUUAUGACCUGGGCCUCACACGUACUACAAUGGCUGUUAACAGAGGGAUGCAAAGCCGCGAGGUGGAGCGAACCCCUAAAAGCAGUCUUAGUUCGGAUUGUAGGCUGCAACCCGCCUACAUGAAGUCGGAAUUGCUAGUAAUCGCAGAUCAGCAUGCUGCGGUGAAUACGUUCCCGGGCCUUGUACACACCGCCCGUCACGCCAUGGGAGUCGGUAACACCCGAAGCCUGUAGUCUAACCGCAAGGAGGACGCAGUCGAAGGUGGGAUUGAUGACUGGGGUG